GGGCGGUCACCGAGGUCCCCUCCCCGGGACAGCUGCCUCGGCCCGGCGCACGCCCGUGGCGCCCGCAACAGGUCGGUUGGUGGGAAACUCACAGCAGUGGAGACGCCUCCGCGCACAACCGCUGGGUUCCUGUCUCGGUCACAGGCGGGGAGGCGAUGAAGCCGGCGUCUCAGUCCCGGGAGAAAGGAGCGCUCAUGGGUCGCCAGGCAGAGAAGGGCUCGCUCCCGGUGCAGGGGCUGGCCUCGGCCUCGCGGUGCCCGGUGGCGGGGCCCGCUGCACGUCUCCCGGAGGACGGGGAGCCCGCGGCCGGAGGAGCCACAGAAGGAGGCGGGCGGUGCGCGCUCGGGGGUGGGAGCUCUAGCGCCGUGAGCGCCGGCGGCCGCCUGGCGUCUGCACCCGGGUUCCGCCGCGCCACUUCCUCGCCGGCUGCCGAGCGCUCUGCGCCCAGCCCCUCGCGCCGGGCUAUAAGCUGUGCGGCCGGGAGGGGAGGAGGCGCUUGCAAAGAGCGGCCACGGGGAGGACAGAGAGCGGGAGGGGGCCGGGAGAGGAGCGGGAAGUGCGAGUGUGCAGGGACCGGGAGAGGAAGCGGGGAGGGGCUGGAACGCAGAGACAAAGCGGACGCCAGUCUCAGCCACUCCAGCUGCAGCCCUCCAGGACCGCGGAUAAAAUAAAUUUUCCCGGGUCGAGGUGUCUCGUCUCCCUGCAACCGAGUUACGGAUGGCCCCGGAGUUGAGGGACCCAGCGCAGGGGAGGACAGGGCGGUGCAGCCGGCGCGGCCCGAAACUGGCGCGGAGUCCUGGCUCCAGCGAGCUUCACAAAGCCAGAGAGGCCCGAUAAGUUCAAGUCACCAAAUCUACCAGGAACCAUCCUCGAUGACCCUAAAUAGGAAUGGCAUGUGGACGGUGCAUGUAGCUCAGUUGGUUGGCGGGGAGUCUUGCCACUGGAAGCCCACAGUGGGGACAGGGAUCGAUCGAACUCGGGCCCUUGCGCUUUUGAGGCAGGCGGCAGAAUCUCUGAGCUAAAUCCCCAGCCCUCUAAGGUGAUUCUUAUCACCCCACCUGCUGGAAGAUAAGGCCAUCAAGUCCAUGGUGAGACGUGAAUCUCCUGGCCCCUUAUAAAUUGGGAUUGACACCUAUGGAAGGGAAAGAGGAAAUAGGAUAGGCAGAGGGAGAGGUUAAGCUGGGUUGCUUGCAGUCUCUGCUGUGGCUUCAGCCAGCCCCUGGGGGCCUCUGGAGCUGAACUGACCCAGAAGAGUUGUCCUAGUGAAGAUAAGAAGGCCACAUUAUCCAGUGACUGAAUGCAGACUGCCCAAGGAAGGAACUGUGGCCUGGAGCACAGUGGCACAUUUCUGUAGAGGCAGUUGUGAAGGACACUGGCAAUCAAAGGCCUUCUGCCACCAGCGCCUCCAGCAGCUGGAAGAACCAAACCUUUGUUCCCAAGGAAGAACUGAGGGGCUCAGCACUGUGCCCACCUCCACGACUGGCACAGAUCUAGGGGCCUAGGAAGUGAAACCUCGGCUCCUGUCAGUGUUUCUCUUAUUUUCAAAAAGAGAGGGAAAGGAUCUGGCUGUUAAAGAGGCAAGGAUAAGGAAAAAGAUCACCAGUGCAAGAAGUGAUCAGCCUUCUGUCAGUAAUCAUUUUUCUUGCUGGAGAAGAGCAAGGGGUCUAAAUUGACAAUUAAGUUUUCUAAGAUUUGGUGUGCCGUCUUCUGCAUUUACACCCUUUUUAUUUAUUUAUUUUUAGUACUGGGGAUCAAACUCAGGACCUUGCACUUUCGAGGCAGGCGCAGGUACCACUAAGCUAAAUCCCCAGCCCUAUUUACACCCUUUUAAAAUCAUCGUGUUUGCGUUAAGUAUCUGUUAUGAUAAACCUAGGAAAUAUUCCUAGGAUUGGAUCCAAAUUCAUUUGGUCAUAUUUUAAAAUUUCAGUUGCUUCUUACAUCUAUUAUAUGUACCAAACUCAUGUGUAUUCUGUAAAUUAAAUUGAUUAUAGUAUGAUUCUCAGUUUCAAAUUCUAGGUGUUCACUGCUGCUAUGAAUACAGCUGACUUUUGUAUAAUGAUUGUUUAAUGAAAUUUUUGUGUGGAAGUCUGUUUUUGUCUGUUAAGUGCUAAGCACCACUGUUCAUGUUGACCUCCUCUGUGAAGGGUUGUUAUAUAGCUUGGAAAUUCAUUCUUCGUCUGAGAUACCUCACCUUACCCAGCCUCGGAUGACUUUUCAAGGGGUAGACAGUUUAUUGGCUGCUGAUGGGACUACAGAGGGACCCAUUUGAAUCCCUUUUCCCUGGAUUACUGUGUAAAGCUUGGGCAUUAGUAAAUCAAGAACCUAAACUGCUUAUGUUUUUUCUACUCCAGGGCCCUUCAAGACAAUAACCUUCACAUUUCACUGUGAGUUAUAAGUUUUAGGGGCAGGAUUUUAAAGCAGCAUUUAUUAUUUUCUCUGAUUACAAAAGCAAUGCACGGUAGAAAUUUGAAAAAUACAGAAAAGCAAAGCCAUAGACCCACGACUUGGAGAUGAUGACAUUGAACAUUUACAUUCCCAUCUUUGUAUGUCCACAUACUGUUUUAUUUUUUUCGGUUAAGUGGUUAAGGGCAGUAACUGUAGAAUCAAGCUUAAAUUCCUGCUUCUGUAUUUACUAGCUGGGUGUUUGGGGACAAGUACUCUACUGUCAAUUCUUGGUGCAUUAGUUUCCUGAGCUGCAACAUGGGAUGAUAACAGUACCUAGCUAGAGAGUUGUUCUGCAGAUUAAAUAAACUAGCAUAUGUAAAGCCUGAACCACAGUGCCUGGCUGGGGGUAAGUGCUCUAUUCCACUUAUUUUUACCAUGAUUCCUUAGCAUGUUGUUUAAGGAGAAUGGUUUUCCUAUCAUUCAGUAGGUAGUUUCCAAAUAACCCUGCUAAUAGUAACUUAAUCCUGUUCUUGGCUGGGGAUGUAGCAUAGCAGUGGAGCAUGUCCUGGGUUCCUCCCCCAGCUUACGUGUCCCCUGGAGUAUUUAUUUAAGGCUCUGCUCUUCUUGCACACCCAGGAUGCUCAUAGCUUGUGCAAUACACUCAAAUCCAUGGGUCUGCCUUUAGCUUUUAUUGAUGUGGUCUUCUCAUUUUUUUUGUACCAGAGGCUGAAGUUAAUGAUGGAGAAGCAAUUCCUUGCUUUCCAUUACCUUACAAAACAAAGCUGCCGGAAAGGGAAAGGGUUUAAGAAAUCAUACAUUUAAAAAGGAAGCAACUAGCUAUCCUUAGAGGAAGGCAGCUCUGGCAAAAUGAAGCCUGUAUAGAAUACAGGCACCACUCUUUUCUGCCCUGAAGAUCCUGUAGGGCAGUGAUGGCAAACCUUUUAGAGCUUUUAGUGAUAGCACAGCAUACUUGCCAUGGGUUUACCACCACUGAUGCAGGGUAUUCAUGGUAAAAGCUCACUCAUACUUAUCAAAAUCACAUAGGCUUGGGCCAGGGGUUUAGCUCAGUGGUUCCAUCGCCUGCCUCGCAAGGACCAGAGUUCGUUCCCCGGUACCAAAAACAAGAAUCACACAGGCUUCUCUGGGGUGUGGCCUUGCACAACCUAGGGAAAUCUUGAACCAUUUUUCUCCUAUUUUCCAUAAUCUUUUAAGCACCCCUGGCUCCUGGAUCUAAACUCCUCAUUUGUUCUUAAGUAAUGGCAUUCGAGAAUUGACCGUUGUUCCAAGCAAUGAAAAUGAAGGUUUUAUUUGGCCUGUGGGCUCUGCUUCCAAGGCAAGAUGCCAAGUCUCCGAGCAGGUCUGGGCAUGAGGAAGGGACCAGAAGAAGGGACCUUUGUGGUCCAAGAGCUUGCACCUUUGAAUGAAUAUUAAAAGGAUUUUAUGGUAGUCUGCGAACACAGACUUUACUCAAUGCACAUAGCUCAGCCUCAGACAUUUCUGAAAUCAUGCGCCUGAGAGUGAGCAUUAAUAGGAUGAAGAGUGAGUGCACACAGAGAGGAAGCUGCUGGUGAAUGUGUUUCUUAAGAUUCCCUUAAGCGUUUCUCCUCAGGAUGUGGAAAAUAAAAACAAAAGCAGAGGUAUAAACUCACAUAUAAAGCAUUCUUAUUUCCCUUAGCUCGUUAGUAAUUUUAGAGUUUUUCUAUAACCCCUCAAGUGAAAGAUUUCCUAUUUCCUUAUCUGAUAAUAGAGGGAAAUAUUGAAAUAUCACGAGGAAAUGGUCACUUUUUAAAAAAUUAUGUGUAUUCAAAUAGUUAUGUCAGUUUUCAUAUCCACAGUUAUGAAACAUUCAUUCAUCCAAUCACUCAUCCAACAAACAUUGAUAUAUAGGCCUCGAAUCAAUACUUGGUUCCAGGAAUAACCCUCUGUUCCACUAGCUUUUCUCCAGCCUUCCAGUGUGAUUUUAUAGCGCAGAGGUUUGGCUCCCCAUCACUGUGCUUGUGUUUGCAUUUAGAAUGUGUUUCCUUCUAACUCUCACCCCAUGGAAAGAAAUCAUAUAGAGGGAAAUUUGAGAGGAGUGAAAGGGAAAAGAACUCAAACAUAGAAGGAGCUCGAGUCCUGUCUCUCUCUCAUUAGGCGGAUGGUGUCCAAGAGAGCCAGGAAAAUACAGACCGCCUGGGCUGUGAACUGGUUCUCAAUUGCCAUUUUUCAUGCAAGGAUUAUAAAGAAGCCCAUUAUUGCCUUGUUAAAAACUGCCCUGUCACAAAUGGUAAAGUGGCUCCCAGUGGCCUUGGGCCAAGAAAGGAGAGCCAGGGGUGCUCUCUCCUGUUCUUAUCAAAGGGUUCUGUUUUCACCAGGAUCUGCAGUUUGCCCAGGGUUCCCCCAAACUCUUAGCAACCCCUCCUACACCUCUUCGGGUAUACUUGUGAUUCUGAAAAUGAGCAGCAACACCAAGAUUCCUUCUGAUUGCUCAGACAGUGGUUUUUCUAGACAGGACCUUGAUCAGAUUCAUCUAAAUCCAGUUUCUCUGCUGAGUUUGUUUCUUUUUAAAAAUUCCUUAUGUAAUUUUCUAUGGCUUAAUAACAUAUAAACAAUCUGUCAUGUCACUUUGUUUUGCAUAUGUCCUAUAACAGGCAAAAUGUUGCUUUUUGCAUUAUUAUUUUUCUCCCCUGGUAACCUAAGAAUGAAACUGCUACCCCAACAAAGCCAUUAAUGAACACAAUUGCAUGACUCCGGAAGCCACAGAGCAGAAUUUUGGUAAAUCAGCAGUGCCCUCUUCUGGCCACAGGAGAACCAAUUACAGAA
ensembl:lncRNA